rnacentral:misc_RNA from 1 species
UCGCCGGCACGUCCCCUUUCACGCCUGCAUAGCGUUGUGCCCGAAAUUCCGAACGUGCAUUCAGAUCGCCCCAUCACGCUCUCGUCUCUGCCGUUCUCGUUACUUGGCGUUUGCUUUCGCCAGUCUACUGUGUCUCGCAAAUUCUUGAAGUUGAGAUAGGCGUCGCACACCGUACUCAACUCGCAGCGAACCCUCUUCAUUCUCUCACACCUUCCGCCUUUGCAGGUUCUGGAAGUUGGGCUGCGGUCAUCUCACUUCUACUUUUCCAUCUUCCUCACGCACACAACAGGCACGUCCAUACUUUUCAGCCCCCACGCCUGUGCCUCUCUAGUUCGUGGAGGCACCUGACCCAGGCGGUGGCGCCCCACGACACCGACGCCACCUACUAUCCGCCCACGCGCACCCCACCUGUGCGGCCGUGCGUGCGUGGAUAAAAGCAACAGAAGAGCGGACGGCUUUGCUCUCACUCCGUUUUCCUUGCGCGCAGCGGCGGGUCUUUUAUUUUUCUGCUCCGUUCUUAUCUGCUGUUUAGUUUUUUUGUCGGCGUUGGUUUCCGAGUGCGAGGCGCACGUGUGUGGGCGGCGGACGAGUUCGAAACAGAGACGUCACCCCCCCCACACACACACACAACCACACCUCCCCCCUCUCUUUUCUGUGGGCGUGCCUCCACCAACCACCAGGCGUCUGCGAUUUCUCGUUCCUUUUUUGUGUAUGUAUUGUGAUCUCCUCUCACGUUUUUGCUUGUUGUUGUAUUGUUGUUCUCACUGCUCUUGUCAUCGUCGAGGUACUCGGCGCUGCAGAGCAAGUCGGCCGAUACGCAAGAGAGCAACGAGCUCCAUUUUCUAGUGGGUGCUCUGUGUGCGUGUGUCUGGAGAAGGCGCCCCUCUUUCCGCGUGGAUCGAGGCAGCCCCCGCUUUCCUGUUGUUGUUGUUUUGAUUUUCGCCUGUUGCAUUCCUGUGCAUUUUCGUUUCGCGGUUUACUCUUCCCAUCACGCAUUUGCAUUGUCAAGCCGACCUUUUUUUCUUUCCCGUCCUCUGUGUCUCUGCGGCAGUGCGUGUCCGCUGGGUGAAUAACGACGAAAGAAAAACAAAAACGGGACUCUUACGGCUAUUGGUGAGUACCACGUCAUUGGCUCAUUUCCGGCUCGUGAUUAUCUCACCCUACUGGUUCCCUGCCUCAUCGGCUUCUCUUUUCCUUUUUCUUUGGUGCUUCGGUGCAUGGACUCAGCCUCUCCCGCCUCACGUGCUUGCCAGCCCAGCUCUGUCUCUAUUCUCGCCCUCUGUGUGGGAGUGUGUCUGUGUGUACGUGUUGUUGGUGCUGCUCGGCAAACAAGCCUAUAAACGCGCGCGCCUCCACACGCAAGCAUACGCACCCAUCAGCGCGGUGACAUUCUCCCCAUCCUCUCCCCUCGUGUUUUUUUUUGCGUUUGCCGCCGUUGUCGUUUCUUUUUUUUUGUUGUUUGUUUGUUUUCGCUUGAUAUCCCCUCGCGCUGUCGGCAACGUGUUGUUUGGGCGCGUGGCUUCCUCGUUCCCCCCCCCCUCUCACGACCUUGCUGCGCACAUACACACACACACACACACCUCCCAUCCUCUCUGCACGGCGGCCCGCGGUCACUUCAUUUUCUUUCUGGAUCUUCUUCUCCCUCUCCUGGCGCAAAAGGGUCAGAGCCAAUACAAUGAGCCGCAGCCCCAAGCAGCACCGGCGCCAACAGACGGUUCACGUCCAGCAGCUUUCACCCACUGAGCUGUGCGAAGCAACACCGAUACUGACAAGGGCAAGGUCGGUGUCCCCUUCACAGACGUCCGGGAUCCUUCAACAACUCCAUGUUGGAAACUCGGAAGAUGCGGUAGGAAUCGGCCUACCCUUUUUUCAGGCACAACCCAUGCCUGACGUCUCGCCGCUAGCGACCCCGCAUGCCUUCACGCACAAUUCCCACUACUCACGCACGGCAAGUCUGGCAUCAUCGACCGAAGACUCUGUAGCAGCUGCCUCCGCUUGCUAUCUGCAUAAUCGGGGCGCAAGGCCAUCAGUGCACUGCGUGCCGACAAACCAGAGGGACUUUCAACUGGGCAUGGUGUCACCUCCCUCCGCAAGCUUUCCGCACGUGCCACUCGUUGGGAACGAGAGCCACGCGUCCUUUUUGGCGAGCAUCGUCACCGACCCAACGAGUCGGCGCAGCUCCUGCAGCUCCUCCAGCUCGCUUGCCGUGCAGCGCCGCGCACACAACGAUGCCUCCCCUGUCUCUCUCGGCAACCCGUCGGUAAUCCGCCACCUCACUAAGAGGCGGGAGCGGCGCAUGUCGAAGGCAGCGAAGAGUGGGCGGAGUAGCCGCAGCAGCAGCAUAGCAAGCUGUACCAAAGAGAUAACGCCGCGCUCGCCGAUAGAAGACCAGAUCAGGGUGAGCCAACUCCCGCUCUACAAAUCGUUUUUUUCGUCUGCGACGGCCUCACCGAUUUUCAGCGCGGCGAGAAGGAAAUCUUCUCGAGGAAGGGAGGCGCAGCCGGGGACGGGUGUCGCCGUCGACGUGUUGCCAAACGACGACAGUUUCUCCUACAUCCUACAUAGAGAAGAGGAGGAAACGGCUGUGAGGACGAAGUCUGGCGUGAAGAUGGUCCGGAGAACUACGCAGGAAGUCCGCCUGCCGAUUUCCGCCGACUCUUACCGAAGAAGCGACAGCGCCCGUGAUCGAGGAGACGCCAGUCGGAGCAACAGUCGACGUCCCAGUGGUCCAGCGCCCUUUGAUGAGACUCCAUCAGCCGUGCCGUCCUUGUUUAGUGAGCCGUCGAUAAACGACAUGUUUUCGGGUAUCCUCCUUUUGGGCGACGAGAGACGCGGAAAGGCCGAUCAGUAGCCAAGUGGCAAGUGUGUGCGCAGCCGUGGUCGCUCUACUGUGAAAGUUGAGCGCAAUGUCAGUGGAGGUGAUGAUGUCGCCGCGGCUGCGGAAGCGAGGGUGACACUCUCCCCCCGCUUCCAGCGCAUGUCGAGAGCUCCGUAACGAAUCCCGGAAAGCGAAGAAAGGCGAGGACUCGUCUUCCCAUCCGCGGUCAACCAGCGAACGCAUGCAAUGGUCCGACCCCGUAGACUGUGGAGAACUGUUGAUAUCACGACACCCACGGUUCAGAGCACCUUCGCCGAGCGGAGCGCGUCGACAUCAGCCACAAACGCGGCGACGCCCACCACCGAGUCCUCUAACUUCACGGUCGAUGCCACGGAAGGGUCGACACUCAAGCAGAUAUCAUCUUUCGGCGGCCUGUCUGGGCCUCCUUGCUCACCAGACGGCAGGCGGGACUAGCCCGCAGCGGCACAACAUGUUAUUGGAGGAUCACGACUGCCACUCUGCUCAAACGUUCACCCUCGAUGGAGACGGGAAUACCCACUCUCUUACCGCGGCGGCCAGUGCAGCCGGUGCUCUUGUCGCCGGAUGACUGCGAUCACAUGGCCGCCGCGUAAUGUGGUAACCUCACCGACUCCGCCGCACUCCAUGGCUCACUUCUAUGAAAAGAUGCUGCUAACGAAGCUGACGUCGUCGGCUGCUCGGCAGAUGAGCGAGGCCAGCAACCGCGGUGGUCGAGUUUGUCGGGAUGCGCAUUCGGCGCCCUCGUCCUCUGAGGUCGUGCAUCGCGUGCCGUUGGUUGUGGCAUGUGCGCGUCAAAAGGGAGGCUGCUACCGGACCACGGAGGCGUUGUCGUGCAGCGCCCACGCAAGCGACCUCUUUGCCCGCGUGCAAGGCCCGGGAGGCGAUUCGACCACAGCCCCAGCGGCGCGCAUGCGCCCAUAGAAGGGUGUAGUAAGAGAUGCCCGCAAACAGGCGGGGGAGUGCCCCAUCUUCUUGUGUGUUGUGCAGUGAGCGACUGGUGAUUCGGAAACGCCUUUGGUGUUGCGCGUUUGCUGUUCUUCCCCGCUUCGCCUUGUGACUACUGCUGCCCUUCCCAUUAUCCAAUCCAAAUACGGGUGUGUGCGCAUAGAUGGUAGGGGUGGUGCUGCGGGGUGAUGACUCAUCAUCUAUGCGUUGCCCUUCAUCUCCUAUGGAUGUGUAUUAUUGUUGUUUCCGCCUUCAUGCCGGCGCACCCCCGGCGGCCCCUCCUUCUAUCGUGUGCCACCUCGUCUGGCUCGCUUCCUCCCUCACGUCUGCCUGCCCUAUGCGCGUUUGUGCAUGUAUAUGUAUAUACCGGUUUCUCUGUUCUUUUGGCUGGUGGCGUGCGUGCGCACGUCCAUCUGUGUCGUGGGAGGGAGGAGGCAGGGGGUCUGUAUCUGUACACGUCUACAUAUCUGUAUGCUCCUUGUACAUGUGUGGUCGAGACACAUGAGGAGUCGCGGCUACGUCCGUUUUAGCGUGGAAGCUACUGUCUCUGUGCAUUUUUCUUUACCUUUUUCUCGUUUUCUCUACCGGUUUCCAAUUCAGUGCUCAUGUCCAUGCGCCGCUUUUGAGCGUGCCAGUGCGAUGCCGCGGGAGAGUCGAUGAUGUUUGCGGGUGCCCCCUCUUGUUCUCGUGGGGGAUACUCGACGAUAUACCAUACACACGCGCGCCGGCGAGCUGAGCAUGACGCGUGGCCUGUUCUCUUUCUCCUUGUGUGUCUUUUGGAUUUGUGUGUGUGCGUGCUUUUCCUCUAUUGUCAUUCUCCCGGCUUUCCUCUCCCUCGUGGCGGGGCGGGGGUAGCACACCUCUCAGCGCGUCGUAUCUCAGGGUCUGAUACACCUCCUUCCGCUCUCUGUGAAGAAGCCACUAAACCCCCCUCCUCCACACCUAACCUUGCCAAUGCCGAGCUACUUCUGGUGCUGACAUGGCCUAGUGCCUGCGGCAUAGCGAGCUCCAAGCGAUGUACCGCUGCUGAUGUCGGCGGUCAGGUCCUGGAUGGCGUGGUGCUGGAGUAACCUGCGGCGGCGAACACGCUUGCGCCAUUCAUAUAAUAGGCGAAGUGUGAGCAUGCCAUGAACGUAUCUCACCUGGCCCUCGCUGCCAACUGGUGUGGGGAGCCUGAGGCGACCUGCAAGGCGGGGGUGGUGGGAUGUGUUUGAGGCAGGUGCCGCGCUCCGAUAACUGAGUCUGCAAAUCGCUUUCACUCAUGCCUGGAGCUGCCCCGCACCACGCGAUGGGAACCUGCGACAGGUCUGGCAACGUAACGUUGAACUCACGUGGAAAAGCGAAAUUCGCGCUUCACUGGAAAAAAAGAUUUAUACUCCCUGAAGAGGUGGUCUCUCUAGCCCGCUCUCUCCCUCUCAUUGUUCCCAAAGAAGCGUGUGUAUGUGUCUCGUUUUGGCCUGUCACCCACCCCUCCUUUUCCUUUCCUUCUCGCGCGCGUGCAGCGGUGCCGUCAGCGCAUCGCCGCGCCGAUCACUCCCAGUUGGUAGUAUGCUUAUCUGCACG